UGGGGAAUCAUGGUCAAUGGGCGAAAGCCUGAACCUGCGACGCCGCGUGAGUGAUGAAGGUCGUAAGAUCGUAAAACUCUUUUCAGGGAUCUUAAAGCACAACCGUCAACAACGGCUGUGUGUGACUCUCCCUGGAAGAAGCCCCAGCCAACUACGUGCCAGCAGCUGCGGUAAUACGUAGGGGGCGAGCGUUAUUCGGAAUUACUGGGUGUAAGGGUAGGUAGGCGGCCCUUCAAGUCGCGGGUCAAAGUCCAGUG
rnacentral:rRNA from 1 species